ensembl:lncRNA
UGGACGCCAAUCAAAACGUUCCCCCCCCCUGCGGCUUCCUGUCUCUUCCCCCACGCUGACGGGUGUUAAAAUCAAGAUGCAUGUAAGAAGGCUGGCGGCGUGAAUGCAUGUAUAUACAUGAACGAACACAUUGGAAAAUGUAGCCCAUCAUUAAGUAAAACCAUCUGGGACAAUGGAAAAAGAAGUGAGGCAGAUGUUGAUGGUGAACAAUGUUGGUCUGAACAAAAGAGCCCCGUUCUUUAUUGUUCUGCUGAAGGCAUUUGACAGUGAGGAUUUCUGCACAAAGGAACAAGUGUACAUGCUACGCUGGAAUAUGCUGAUAUGAUGAUUCUAUCGCUUAUUCGACAUUUAACACGACGAUGAUUCUUUGCUCGGUGUGUUGAGGAGAGCCAGGAGCUAGAAUGCUAAUUUACAUUCAUGUUUGUUCCUUAUGGGUGAAGCAGAACUUUAUUUUUGUUCCCUUUUAAACUUAAAAAAAAAUACACUUCCUGCAGGAGACAGGGGCCUAAAUGAUCUCAGAUAGUUCUUUGGUUCGAGUCGUGCGUCAUCCUCCGUAUGUAUUUCUGCCACAACAGCAUGCGACCUGUCGGGGCCGAAGCCCCCCGGCGACCAGUUGUCCGUCCUGCAUGCACACUGUCAUCAGACAGCGAGGGACGCAGAUCGUGCUUCGCUCUCCGUCCGAGUCUGUUCAUAUGUCAGCGACAUAACAGCUAAGAAUUGUUCUUCUGCUCUCUGUCACCAGCGAACGUGUUGUAUUUGGUGGAAAACUGUUGAUGCAGUUUCUAAAAAGACAUUUGUUUAUUUACUGAUCUUCAGACAUAAUAUUCACAAUAUUCACGAGCCAGUAGGCUAUUGUUCUUAAAGGGCAGGUAAAGGGAUAUUCUACAUAUUUGAAAAUGGUUCUUUUAAAUAUUGAAGUAAUAUUGUAAGAACCGGGUUCCUUUGUUACCUUCAACUCAAACGCACUAUUGAAUAAAUCCUAAUAAUCGCUUAAUUAUAUUCAGAAUGUAUAAUAAUCCUCAAUAAAAGCACCUUUUUACCUGUUUUAUUAACUAUUGCUAACGCCACAGUGCACAGAUGUUUGAGGAAAUAAUUCAGCUAAAUACUUUGUGUAAAACUUUUAACCUGAGAGCCGCGUUUCAAGAACAGUGCGUUGACAGACGAGCCGAAAUAAGUGUUGGUCUUUUUAUAGAAUCAAUUGACAAUCAGUUAUAGAAAUGGGAUUUAAAAAUAGGUUUAAAGGACCCCUCCUGUUUUACGGAGACACAUCUCUGUUUCUCGGGCUCGGUUUCUCGGGCUCGGUUCUGGUUGGACUGAAUCUCUUCUGCCAAUUUGGUUUCACAAAUGGUUCACAGAUGUGAUGAGAAAUUGCGGUAAAGGCAAUUUGCAGGAAAAAGCUGCAUCAGUACAUAUCUUUUUUGCAUGCAUUUUUUUUUUUGUGUGCGUGUGUGUGUGUGUGUCGGCUGUCCGAUCCUCCAUCAGGAUAUUUCAAAGCUCCACAACUGGCCCAGUUCCCUGCAUGGGGCGACAACAGCGUCACCACGCAGUAAUGAAUCAAAUUAAGUGGAAUGUCAGCUAGGCUAACGGAGCUCUCGCUCUCCUCGCGGCGUGAAAAGGAAUAGUUUCACGGCUUCAAUUUGUCUCUGCCUGCCCUCACUGGCACGUAUUUCCGCGUUUCAUCUAAAAAAGAAAAGUAAAAAGGUGAAAAAUUAUGCUUCUGGCAACAACAUGAUGAGUAGAAGGGGAAUAUCCAAUUGGAGAUGUAGAAAUGGUAUUCGCGUCUGCAGCCGGUGUAGAAGGGGGGGGGGCGGGGCUUACCUCUGGGUUUCAUGUAAAUAUAUGCGAUAACAUGAAUUACAUCCCGAGGGAAGCCCCCGUCCCCUCCGUCCCCCCCGUCCGCCCAUGUGAAGAUUAAAGCAUGUAAAGGUGAUGUGGAGGGAGAGUGACACCUCAAAGUGGGAGAAGAGAGAGCAGGACGAUGACACGGUGAUGAGCAGAGGAAAGUGUACCAGGAGGAGAUGUUUCUGAAUGACUGAGUGACAGCUGUUAUUGUCACUUGCACAACCUUCGGUGUCCAGAGAAAGACUCGUUUUCCCAUGUGAAGCAUGUCUACCGAGGCCUUUACUGUAUCUUAUUUCUGGAAAUCUGUCAUUUUUUGCCAGAAUUAAUUGAAAAUAAUUUACUCUUAUUUUAAUACUAAUGUGUCUCAUUUACACGCAAAGAAAGGUUCAACUACCUAGUUGAGAAUUCUUUAAUACAAGCAGCUUUAUUUUGUUUUAGAAGGGUAACUACUGGAAACAAAAGCUCCCUGACUUACUUCAACGCACAUCUUCUGAGUGUUUUUUUCACUGGAGGUUUUACAUUUUUUUCGGAGGACAACCGACUUCAAUCCUGCUCACGUGUAGUGACCAUCUGCGUCAGUUUCGUGAUCAAAUGAUCAACCUUCUAGUAUGAGUCCUCCAUAGAAAGAUCUUAUGAUCUACCGGGAGAGAGAGGAAGCGCAGCGAGGUGGUCAAGAGAGAGAGAGAGAGAGAGUGACUGAAACAGUGGGAUUACCCGUGGCCUCUAAUCCACACUUUACAACGUUCUCGCCCCAAAGCGAGGAGACCAUAAAUCUCCCGUAGGACACAGUCGAUGGCAACACUCAGACAAAUGGAAGGGAAUGGGGAUAUUACGCUGCACACAUCUGCGGCUCUCUGGGUAGAUAAGUACACUACGCUUCCAUUUAGUGUAAGAAAGAUGUCCUCGCGUGGUCCUCGCCACCAGCCGCCCAAUUCAGAGAGUGCUGCGACGAGAGGGUGGGGGGAGGGGGGGAGAGGGGGGGUUAUAUGGAUCACCAGUCGCAAACCAAAAGGUGUAUCCGAUGGAUAGACGGAGAUGGAUAAGAGUGGGGGGGGGGGGGGUGGCACAAGACCGCCUCUAUAUAUAGCAGGCGAUCCGUCAUCUCGCUUUUUGUCCGCUCGCUUCCCCUCGUCGGGGCUUUGAAGGAAUGAGGGAUCGCCGUUCAGAAGAUCAGAGCAAGUGAGGAGGGAACUUUGGAGGCUUGGAGAGAGGAGCAUAAGGGGAGAAAAUGUGUGUGUGUGUGUGUGUGUGUGUGUGAGUGACUGAUGACUGCUGCUCUUAAGAGUCCCAGUUGCAGCUCGCCGUAGUUCAACACUGUACAUCAAACACAUCCAGCACAAAGAUUUCCGCCGAUUCGCUACCAUCCCGUCGGCCAACGAGUGGGAUGUUUCUAAAGUGGGCAUCGUUUGAAUGUCCUGUCCGAUCCGACAGGUGGGAUUAACCGGCGGAAAGAUUAGAGACACAAAAGGAAACACACAAACACCCGGAGGGGAGGGAGUGCUUGAUGGGUCUUAUGAAGCUUCUUCUGAGGAGGAGGUUCGCCCGGUGGUCACUUCAAAAGCACAGAAGACGGAGCGGGGAAAGAAGGAGGAGGAGAGAGAGAGGGAGGGAGACAGAAGAUGGGUAGCGGAGCGGGAGGGGAUGAAGAAGAUGGGAGGAAACGGAGGGGAGGCGUGGACCCCAGAUGAAAGAAACACACAGAGGGAUUACUGGAAAGGAAAAUACAAAAGAGGGGGAAACAUCUGCGUGGUAAAUGUACCAGGAGACACCUGGAUGAAGUAACAAAGACUGGCUGUUCACGUCGAGGUGUUCAUGUGCGAUGAAUGAGGAUUUUUCUUAAUAAAAGUGUAAAAAGCACCUAAACGCCGGUGAGCGGUUCGGGAGAUCGAGUCCCGACUACAGCAGAAACUUCUCGCCUCCUGCUCUCAAUGCAGAAAGCAUCUGACGAGCACGGUAAAGCCUGCAGGCGGACGCAAUAUUAUAAAUGGGAGGCUGGUUUGAAUUAAUCAACCAUUCGUAGAAAGAGAGCUACGUGUAGCCGGCUCCAUCUAGAAACCUUCUCCUUGAAUAAUUCACAGCGGUAAAUAAAACAUAUCCAGUGGUCUUCACCUCAAACAUUUUUUUUGGAGAUAGCAGAUAGCCGCCGUGCUGAGUAAUGAGUUCUUCGCUUGCAAAUGAGUGCAGAAAUGACAAGCCAGCGGAUGAGCACCGGAACACGGGAAAAAGGGCCGCACCUCAAAAUGCAGUUAUUUCGCAUUGAUAUUCAAGGAGGGGCUGAAUUUAAAACAGAAUAUUGCAUUAACAUAGCUGCCUUUGAUACGACAGCCUAACAUGCAAUCUCUCCAGAACCCGCAACCAAAAACCAUCACUGCGGUGAUUGCAACGAUGUCCAAAAGCGCUGUUAUCGAAGAAAAAAAAAAAACAAUAACCGGGAAACGUUGUUAUCCAGCGGCGGCGCGGCGGACGCAUUACUGUCCGUUUGAUUGUCCCAGAAUAACAGACGACAGUGGGGCGUUUAUUGCUUUUCUCCCGCACUGAAGAGCGCAAUAUAUUUCUGCAUAAUGCAUGAGCGCCAGGACGGUGGCCCCAAUUCACCCCCGGAAACAAAUAAGCUUCAUAAUGAACCAUAUCAGUGCCACGCCGGCAGACGGGGAGGAUGCAAGCACAAGGAAACAAAGAAGAAAAAAACAAGAGAGGAGGAGACGGACGGGCCACAGAUCUUUUCCUGUGGUUCGUCGGGCGCCGCGCGCCGAAACCACCACAGCGGACGGUUGCGGCGAUCGCGCCAGCGCUGGUCGGAGCACGGAUCGCUUUGCCGCCGCUUUCACGGCGCACAAAGGUAAAAGGUACCUCAUUUGCAAAAAAAGGGCAACCAACGAGGCUCAUUUCACUUUCUGAAAUCAUGCAAUAAUCGCUCUCGAGCGCGUCGAGUGCGAUGGUGGAAUUCAACCGUACAGUAGCAGCCGGGGAAAAUCUGCAAUUCAAAUUUAAAAAAGCAAAGAGGAAAAAGGUUACAGCAAUUACCGUUAUUUUACAUUAGACUUAACCCAAAUUGCAGAUGAAACCUCCGAUCCAAAAGCAAUUCUUUCUCCCCUUGAUGUAAAAUAAAGCUGUUUUCCGACAGACAUUAAAUCAUUUUUAUCACACAGAUGGUCACACAUUGGGCCACAUCAUUAUCCUGUUAAUGUCAUUCAUAAUUACUCAAUAUAACCCAACAGUACCACUGUUUAUUUAAAUGGGCUAUUUGUUAUUCCUCCUCCAUUCCUGGACUCCAGCAGGAGCACGACGGGCCAACGUUCUCCGUCCUGUCCGUACCAUCUCAUCAUCUUGCCCCGGUGCCCAAAUGCCGAGGUUGAGAAACUUAAAAGUGGUUUUCCUGGUAGCGUCCUCAGAGACGGACAUCUGAGGACAGCUGCUCCCCCUCGCGCCUCCCUCCCCCCCCGUCUCUCUCUCUCUCGCUUGUUGCCUUCCUCUCGCUGUCAAUCACAGGCAAACUUUUAAAUCUCCUCUUCCAGCCCCACCUCUUUGAACUCACCAUAUUUCCUCUCCAUCUGUCUGUCCUUAUAAAGCACCCUCUCUCUCUCUCUCUCUCUCUCUCUCCCUCCACACACACUUUUCUUUCAUUUACUUUACAAUGACAAAUUGUUCCAUUGAAGCAGAUCAGGUCAAGGGGGCGACGCCAGUAGUUAGUCAGGCACGGCCUUUGUGUGUGAAUGUGUGCGUGCGAUGUGUACAUCUUAGCUCCUAUUACUCUGACACAACGCUUUCUAAAUCUGCCGCCCGACACUCACUCCUGCCCGCCGCGUCUCCCCCGCUUUACACACUGCUCAGGCCGGAGCCCGAGAGAUAUCUCAACCCCAGGCACUUCCACGUCAGCGUGAAUGAUCCAAACUGCACCGCCACGUCGUUUUUGGGGACGAACAUUUGAUGCCGUUAUCUUUAUCUUUAUUUUUUUAGGCCUCAGGAUCGCGUAGGCGGUAGAUCUUCCGCCCGUUGAUCAAAAUCACGUUACGUCACACGUGGUCGACCACAGAAACUAAUGCUAAUGCUAAUUAGCAAUCCUUGCUAACUAACACCAACCCAACGCGCUGACUCCAGUCCAGAACGUGUGGAAUGGUCGUGACGGUUCCCUCCUUCUGACAGACGAGAGGCUCGUUGUUUUUUUUAUAUAUAUCGAUCCGUUUAGCGCCGUCAGCAGCAUGCAGCGCCGUUGUUACGUUCGGUUACCGCUACUACUCGUUCGCCCGAUGGAUCGAACAUGACUUCGGUCGGUUUGAAACGUAGCGCGCCGGCCGGAAAAGCGUGGGAGCCGCUGGCUUGUACGAAAACGUACAUCCACGUACUUGUGGCUUAACAUAAAUGGGCAGAUUGCAUGGAUGGUGUCACCGACGACCUCUAUGACGGUUAAUCCACAACAAAGUGUUGGUAUCCUGCAGGUCUGAGAUCCAGGGAGGUGUGAUGAUUAAUGGCGGCGGUGCCGACGGUAAUGAGCGGUGGGACUUUAGCGGUGCCCUUUUGUUGCCUCCACUCCUGAGGGCCACCUUCCACGAGUGCAGAGAAAGUAGUCCGAUCCGUGGCUGCAGGGCAGAGCGGGGAGAGCCGACAUAGUUCAUAUUCUUUGCAGAAUAGAAGGAGCAGAAUGAAAAGAUUCUCUGCCAGAGUGAGAAAAUUAAUGCCACAGUCACAUCUGUAGAAUAGAUAUUUUUCGAUUCCUGCAGCCGCCAUAAACUGAGCAGAAAGACGGCGGAUGGGGAUUAAUCAAAGGUAACACAAUGUGCCGGCCUCCAACUCUCAAGCCGCACCGAAAAUGUUAUGCAACGUUUCUUGGCAUCUGUCACUCGCAUGUCUCGUGGUACAGAUGCGUUUGAAUUCGAUUACAUGCAAGAAUUCACGCCACACGUCACGGGGAGACAGCAGGGUUUAAAAAAUAAGAAUAAUCGAGUCCAGCUGUUUUUUUUUCAAGCGCAUUACGAGAUGUUAGUGAGCGUUAGAAGUGUUAAUUAGGCUCUAGAAGUGCUGACGGAACCAGAUUAGCUGCUUCUGGGUUCCGGUCUUGUACGACAGAAAUGAGAAAAAUUGACGUCGCCAACUGUGAGGACGUUGAGUGCAAGGACGGGCUAAUUUAAAUUGGACAUCUGAUCACGCCGAGACCCUCCAAUAACUGUGGCACGCACGGUUAAUUCCAACUUGGUGUUUGUUUCAGCUUCAAUAGGAUUAUGUUGUUAUAAAGGACGUUCUACGGUGAGCGGAGGGAGGGUCAAUAAGUGUAGGAUUUCAGGGGACACGAAAAGUCCACGCAGUGAGAGGGAAAAGGCCUUGGAAACUUUGGACAUCCGGUCCGGGGGGGGGACGUCAGCGCACGACGGCGCCCGUGACAACGCGCUGCGACCGUCUGUCCGCAUGGAGCGCGUUGAGCAUCUUUAUCCGAGCAGACGUCGUCCCCGCGGCGACGGUUAAGCGUCCCGCUUCUGGAAAAAACGCCACGUGGUUUCGUGCUCGGUCAGUCGAUCGCCUCCUCUUCAUCCGGCCAACGACGACCACAUGGCGCCCACAUUUUCAUCACCAUUCGAAACCUUUAAGUGACGACACAAACCUGCUUCGAGUCUAACGAGCUGUGUAACCGUCAGCCGAAGAGGUUACAUCCCUGAUUGUGGCUCCGGCAUUAACUGAACAUUUAUGCUCUCGUGUAGCCGCACUGUUGAACUGAAAAUACAUUUUUACAACCGCGUUUGCGAAAGGUGUUUAAAGCAACGUUUUCUUUCCAACAAUGGCAGCCAUCUCCGAGCUCCGCGCCGGCUGCCACCGUCUCCCCGUCCCUCCAUUGUGCGCACAUUGUGUGAACUCUCAUUACAGGGGUGGUAAUAGACUCUUCAGCACUGAGAUCCUCUGUAUUAUCCGUCAACUGUGGACUACAUCGCUAAGCUGAUUAGCCUGAGCUCUCUUUUCAGCAUUUCAAUUAGGAGCGUUUUGAAUAGUGGUGCAGAUUGCACGCCUCAUGUUCAUCCGCUGACAUUUUUAGCGCGCCAGUCGAUGUCGGGAGUCGCGAGGAAUCCAAGAAAUGCAACUGCAGCAGUGAGGAUGAAGAGCUACAAAAGAAUUACGUCAUGUUGGCGGGAUGGCUAUCAACAGAAACCCAAAGCAAUUCACGGCUUCACGGAGGCACGCGGUCUUAGCAUAAAUGGCCCAGCUGGCAACUACCGUCACACACACACAUUAGGAUUAGCGCGGCCUGUGAAACAACAACGGGACAAACGUUUCGCGGAGCGCCGUCAUUGGUCGUCUGCGGCGCCAGAUGACGGCGGCAUGGGCCUCAGCCGUGGGUGAAGUCACCCACAUCUGCCUCUCGGAGGGCUGUCGAACGCGAACGGCUGAGAUGAAAAUUCGCCUUCCUGAGUGGCGUGAAGAGAAGCCGGCUCCUCGAAAGGGUACGAGGGCCGUGAACACCCACGCGCUUAAUCUCUGCGCUCGUGUCUUUCACGCGAUGUCCCACGCGGGGGGGGGCCUUUACGUCCGGGAGAGAACGACAGAGCAGGAAGCUGAAGAGGAGGACAUUGAGGGAGACGAGCAGGUGGAUGAGGUUGUGACUCCUGGUGCUACUAGAUCUGGGUCAGACUGGGAUGUGAUCUGCUCAGCGCGCGUGUGUGUCUGUGUGUGUGUGCGUGCUCACAUGUACACGCGGGGUGCACGGUUUAGUGAUGUCAUUAGAAGUCGAGCCAAAAAAACGAUGAUCUCGGGGGUAUUAUCGGUAUCUGUUUAAGGUAUCCAGCUUUGUCAAAUACCCACUUGACACAGGAACCACCCCUGUGUUUUAUCAUUCAGCUCGCCGUGACUCCACACGCACACAAACUCGCUAAUCCACUCAGCCAUUGUUAAUCCAGCUGCGCGCCGGUUACAGAGACGUGCCGUACACGGCUAACAACCGUGUUCGCCGCGGCGCGCGGAAGUCACGCCUGUCGGUUCUCAGGUGUGCUCGUUCGACGGAGAGCGCGGCCUCAUCGGGAGCGGCGCGCUGGAGGACGGAGGGAGCAAGUGACCCUUGGCGGUACUUGAACAGGAAGAUGAAAAUUCAUGUUUUCAAUUGGGAUUUUCCAAGAGAGCAAAUACCUAUAUUUAUUUUUACAGUAACCUCUGAACUUCUGCUUUUCGAUGUCUGUGCUAUAGAUGUUUUUUAACAUUUUUGUUAGCCAAGACAUUUGUGAACUUUGACCCAAUUUAGUUAAUCACCAGUUUGAAACCAGCUUGUGGUUCCUAAGAAUUUAGGAAGGACUUAACACACAAUUUCAGUGCGGGACUUACGAACAGCUGGGGCAACCCGGUCCUCCUGAUGAAAUAUCGCUCCAUAGAGUUGUGAUGGAGUUGAUCUAAAGGACUUUCAAAUUGGAAACCGGAGGGGGGGAGUGGGGGGUAAAGUCUGUGCUCAUGAUGACCAGAUUAGGAUUUGACAUCCCGUGGAAAAAGUGGUUGGCUUGGACGCAGUGGACAAAUGGAAAUAAACCCUUAAAAGCCCAAAAACAAAUAUUAAGGAGCAGGAGGAAGACGCCUUGGAAAAGUGGACGGGAUGAGGAGAAGGGAGGCAAAGUAAGACCCGUGGGAACGGGUCGAGGAGGGAGCGGGACGGCGAUGGAGAGCCGGAGGCUGAACGCGAGACGCAGAGUGGCGUCGCGCUAGAAAAGAUGCAGCUGCGAGGGAUCAUUAAAUAUAGAGAAUAACCAGAAGAGGAAAGGCAACAGAAAAAGAGCUAGAGCCGCCGAUAGAGAAGAGACGCUGGGCACUGAAACGUAGUAGAGGAGACAGCAGAUGGUGGGGAUUAUUGUGGACUGAAAUACUCUGGGAUCUACACGGGGAAGGCCGCAGACAUAAACCGUUGCAGACUCCAUCUGCCAGAAAUAGACCAAAAAAAAGCUGCAGGCCCAACGUCGGCAUUAUGAUCAAAUGCUGCCUAAAUGAUAAAACUACUUAAAAAAACGUCUCCAACUGUCCUCCCACUAUUUCAUUUUAAGGACAGAGAGAAAGCUGUUGUUCUAACGUGUCAAAUCAGUCAGUCGCCAAAGACACAGUGCAUGCAGAGCUACGCACGUUUAAGACGCUUUUAUCCCCUUCUGUUAAAAGGCAUCACGAAGCACAAACAGGAACUAGUUGCCUUAUUCUUUUACAGCAGGUGCACUAACGCUGGAGUGUGUUUGUGUGCGAUUAUGACUGAUACCAUAAGACACCCCCUAAUCCACAUUUUAUGUUCACCAUGAUUAGGACGACAGGCCACGUGCGCAGAGAAAACCACAAACUGGCCCACAAAUCCCCCCCUCCCACCCCCCUCAGUAAUGCCUCUCCAUCCAUCAGCACACUCCUGCACACAUAUGAUUGCAGAUACAGUCUAAUGCCCGCCAAUCAAAUCAAAUCGUCCCAUCCCACAUGCAGAGAGAGAGGAAAUUAAAGGGGGGAAAAAAAAACCUUCCCCUGUGUGGAGAUCAAACCUCGAACCUGCAAAACGAAAUAAAAAGAAUGUAGAAAAGAUAAUCACUGUUGUGAGUGCACGUAAGCGUAAAAUCAACAACAUUAGCUUCUCCGUGUGUAGACAGACACACACCAUUCUGCAGCUUUCUCCCUAUACUAUAUAAUUGCCUAUUGAGCCGCGUCACUCGAGACUUGUGCUUCGUGUUCGCACAACAGCCAGUAAUUGUUAGUGAAUGUUAGUCACAACAUGGCAAACAUAUUGACUGACUCUAUGCAUGUGCGUGCAUGGCUUUUAUUGACUAAUUAUCGUGAGCCCGACAGUGAACAGUUCAUUCGAUCCUUCCCUGGGACUGAGCAUCAAGUACUUAUUGGUGCAUUCUAACCCAAAGAAAAGACAACAUGGAUGGUAAUGAAUGUUCUAUACGGCAGACUACUCAGCCUAUUGGUUUCCAACGGUCUCAAUUGUAAACAAUUUGUCUAGUUCUGCAAAACAGAGCCUUUGUCUGUACUUUUUUACAUUUACGGACUUGUGAAAAGAGGGGGCUCUAAAAGUUACACUAUGUCCUGCGCUGAGAACCUUUGGCUCUCUCAGGCUGAACAGAGACUGGAAACAACAGAGUCCACUGCAGCAUACAAAUAAGCCUUCCACUCACACACACACUCACAUGCCAAUGAUGUUCAUGUGUUGGUGCCUGAGGUUUGUCAUCCACAACAUUUGCACAAACGACAUUAAAAUCACAGGAUUGUGUUCUCCUUUGGUCCUAUCAUAACCCCCCCUGCUGUAUAUGCCUGCACGGUAUCUGGCACAAGUGAUGUCCCAGCGUUGCUGUCUUGUGAAACCAAAGCGAGUAACGUUUCGUAGAGAGCUGGGUGCUUAUGAUCUUGGAAACAUGCACUUGCUCGAUGGGGAAUCCUUUUACACCCCUUCAUGUGCGACGAGAUCAAAUCCAACGUGUUGUGCUCGUUGAGGUGAAAACUGAUUUCACGAAUUUGAUUCCAAGUCAACCAUAAGUUCUCAGCGACGUAUUAAAAGAAAGAAAGAAAAAAAAGGCACAUAUUUUCAGCCAGAGCUGUUCGGCCAGAGGUGUGAGGCGGAGGCUUCGCCUGGCUGAUCCCUUUCAGUUGCAGAUGUUCACAGGCCCAUCAGCAGCGGGGCUUAACGCCACAUAGGGCUAAUGAGUUGGAGACGGCGAGGAGCGAUCAUUCCAUCCGUCGUUUGGCAGUGGUGCCCGACCGCUCACAUUCACACUGGGCUUUCAGCUGGAGCAAAGGCUCAAGGGAAACAGGGAGGGUGGGUGAAAAUAACAGAAAACAAGUGCUGCUCAUGCUGGUAUUCUUACAAUUGAUAUCUUGGAUGUACAGACCAAAGGCCUCUGGCUCACAGUAAUAUCUGUGUGACUGACUGGCAGCCAACCACAAAAGAGCCAAAAGAAACAUUGGAGAUUUGAGUAGUUGACUAUACAGUCCCCUGUCCGAAUGGCAUCGCGCUGCGUCUUUUUCUUCCCCUUCUGAAGCGCUGCAAUUAGUCACUGCCGGAGUCUGUGGCCGCGCAGGUUGAGUUUAAUCUCAACCUCUGAGGCACUUUAUGAAGAAUUUCAAACCAUUAACCAAGCUCAACAAUUGGUGGUGGCUGCCAAGCACCUUCAAAGGAAUGUCAGUUUCCAUGGCGACCAAGCCACCGC